rnacentral:lncRNA from 7 species
CAGAUCACGGCAGCGUGGCCGAGGAAGUGGCUUUGGCAGCCCGCUGGGACGCUCGCUUCCCGUCCUCACCCCAGCGAGGUGAUGGCCCCCCAUUGAUUUGUGUUGGGUGGAGAUGUGGCAGCCCCAGCUGGACCGCGACGGAGGGCUCAAUGGUGGGAAGUCCGGCAUUGUUGCAGAGGAGGAGAGCGGCAUAGGAUGGCUCCAAAGAAAAGAGGUCUGCAUCAGAAGGAAAACCUCCUGCCAUGCCAGCUUGCCCAGACCUAAUGGUGAGACGGCCUUUCCCAGCUACACUAAGGGCUGCUUCUUGUGGACUGGAAGUAUUGCCAAAGAGUGAGUGAUCCUUAUUAAUAUGCAUCUCCAAAAACAACAGGCAGUCUUGCACAGAUCCUCUCACACGUAUCUUUGGAUUUUGAGACAGUGGAGAGCUCUUUAUUCCCUCUCACACCAAUGUCAGCCAUAGCGCAAGAUGUCUUGAGCUGAUUAAAAAUCUCUUUAAUCAAAUGCUGGCAGGGGAAGUGUUCAGAACGUUAGAAGGAUGACUUUGACAAGCUGCCCCUGCACUGUGAGUGACUUCAUCCAGAGGUUGGCCCGGCAGGCUGGCGUGUGAUACAAAGCCUCCACUCACCUUGAUUUCCAAAGCUGCCAACAAACUGCAGUGACGAUGCUGAGAAGCCAGUAGGGCACUGUAGCCUGUGCUCAGUUCUUCUCCGUUAGAUACUGACCCCCCCCCCAAAAAAAACCUUUGCUACAGGCAAAAUCCAUCACUCGAUUCAUCAACCCCUACCUACGCUUCAAAUUCCUAUAUCCCAAAUCCAUGGGAACGAUUUUGAACAUGAAUGUAGGCUGGAAAUCAUUGCUGUGCAGAUUGUCUGGAGGCUUUUUUUUCCCCCCUGUUCUAUGGCUGAACUGGACUUCAAAAGAAUAAAUAAAAUCCAUUCUGGUAGCACCCCCUCUUCCCCCUCCAACCCCCCAGGAGGAGUGUACUUCUAUGGAGAAAGGACAUAAAGAAACCUCCU